rnacentral:rRNA from 1 species
CCUACGGGUGGCAGCAGUCGAGAAUCAUUCACAAUGGGGGAAACCCUGAUGGUGCGACGCCGCGUGGGGGAAUGAAGGUUUUCGGAUUGUAAACCCUUGUCAUGUGGGAGCAAAUUAAAAAGAUAGUACCACAAGAGGAAGCGACGGCUAACCCUGUGCCAGCAGCCGCGGUAAUACAGAGGUCUCAAGCGUUGUUCGGAAGCACUGGGCGUAAAGCGUGCGUAGGCUGUUUCGUAAGUCGUGUGUGAAAGGCGCGGGCUCAACCCGAGGACGGUACAUGAUACUGCGAGACUAGAGUAAGGGAGGGGGAAGCGGAAUUCUCGGUGUAGCAGUAAAAUGCGUAGAUAUCGAGAGGAACACUCGUGGCGAAGGCGGGUUCCUGGACAUUAACUGACGCUGAGGCACGAAGGCGAGGGGAGCGAAAGGGAUUAGAUACCCUGGUAGUC